AUUGAACGCUGGCGGCAUGCUUUACACAUGCAAGUCGAACGGCAGCGGGGAGGAGCUUGCUUCUCUGCCGGCGAGUGGCGCACGGGUGAGUAAUACAUCUGAACGUGUCGAGAAGAGGGGGAUAACCACCCGAAAGGGUGGCUAAUACCGCAUAAAUUCUGAGGAAGAAAGCUGGGGACCUAGGAAUAGGCCUAGCGCUUUUUGAACGGCCGAUGUCGGAUUAGCUAGUUGGUGAGGUAAAGGCUCACCAAGGCGAAGAUCUGUAGCGGGUCUGAGAGGAUGAUCCGCCACACUGGGACUGAGACACGGCCCAGACUCCUACGGGAGGCAGCAGUGGGGAAUUUUGGACAAUGGGGGCAACCCUGAUCCAGCCAUGCCGCGUGUAUGAAGAAGGCCUUAGGGUUGUAAAGUACUUUUGUUAGGGAAGAAAAGUCAGCUGUGAAUAAUGGCUGAUACUGACGGUACCUAAAGAAUAAGCACCGGCUAACUACGUG
rnacentral:rRNA from 1 species